rfam:Jeotgalibacillus malaysiensis strain D5, complete genome.
UAAGUCCUGAUGUGUACGUUUUAAUAUCCAUCAGUUUUGACCGAACACUUCAAUAUCCGGGAGUUCACGUUUUUCAGCCGCUUGCACGCCCUUUGCGGGGAAGCAUAAAGCUGAAAAUAGGACACCCACCUGCUGAGAGCGGGUUCAAAACGAUAGAUUCCUACAUCGAACGGCACAAUUGGGAUUUAC